rnacentral:rRNA from 1 species
ACUAUCGUUAACUGAAUACAUAGGUUAACGAGGCGAACCGGGGGAACUGAAACAUCUAAGUACCCCGAGGAAAAGAAAUCAACCGAGAUUCCCCCAGUAGCGGCGAGCGAACGGGGAGCAGCCCAGAGUCUGAAUCAGCUUGUGUGUUAGUGGAACGGUCUGGAAAGUCCGACGGUACAGGGUGAUAGUCCCGUACACCAAAAUGCACAGGUUGUGAACUCGAAGAGUAGGGCGGGACACGUGGUAUCCUGUCUGAAUAUGGGGGGACCAUCCUCCAAGGCUAAAUACUCCUGACUGACCGAUAGUGAACCAGUACCGUGAGGGAAAGGCGAAAAGAACCCCGGCGAGGGGAGUGAAAAAGAACCUGAAACCGUGUACGUACAAGCAGUGGGAGCACCUUCGGGUGUGACUGCGUACCUUUUGUAUAAUGGGUCAGCGACUUAUAUUCUGUAGCAAGGUUAACCGUAUAGGGGAGCCGCAGGGAAACCGAGUCUUAACUGGGCGUUAAGUUGCAGGGUAUAGACCCGAAACCCGGUGAUCUAGCCAUGGGCAGGUUGAAGGUUGGGUAACACUAACUGGAGGACCGAACCGACUAAUGUUGAAAAAUUAGCGGAUGACUUGUGGCUGGGGGUGAAAGGCCAAUCAAACCGGGAGAUAGCUGGUUCUCCCCGAAAGCUAUUUAGGUAGCGCCUCGUGAAUUCAUCUUCGGGGGUAGAGCACUGUUUCGGCUAGGGGGUCAUCCCGACUUACCAACCCGAUGCAAACUACGAAUACCGAAGAAUGUUAUCACGGGAGACACACGGCGGGUGCUAACGUCCGUCGUGAAGAGGGAAACAACCCAGACCGCCAGCUAAGGUCCCAAAGUCAUGGUUAAGUGGGAAACGAUGUGGGAAGGCACAGACAGCCAGGAUGUUGGCUUAGAAGCAGCCAUCAUUUAAAGAAAGCGUAAUAGCUCACUGGUCGAGUCGGCCUGCGCGGAAGAUGUAACGGGGCUAAACCAUGCACCGAAGCUGCGGCAGCGACACUAUGUGUUGUUGGGUAGGGGAGCGUUCUGUAAGCCUGCGAAGGUGACCUGUGAGGGUUGCUGGAGGUAUCAGAAGUGCGAAUGCUGACAUAAGUAACGAUAAAGCGGGUGAAAAGCCCGCUCGCCGGAAGACCAAGGGUUCCUGUCCAACGUUAAUCGGGGCAGGGUGAGUCGACCCCUAAGGCGAGGCCGAAAGGCGUAGUCGAUGGGAAACAGGUUAAUAUUCCUGUACUUGGUGUUACUGCGAAGGGGGGACGGAGAAGGCUAUGUUAGCCGGGCGACGGUUGUCCCGGUUUAAGCAUGUAGGCUGGUUGUCCAGGCAAAUCCGGAUAAUCAAGGCUGAGGUGUGAUGACGAGGCACUACGGUGCUGAAGUAACAAAUGCCCUGCUUCCAGGAAAAGCCUCUAAGCAUCAGGUAACAUCAAAUCGUACCCCAAACCGACACAGGUGGUCAGGUAGAGAAUACCAAGGCGCUUGAGAGAACUCGGGUGAAGGAACUAGGCAAAAUGGUGCCGUAACUUCGGGAGAAGGCACGCUGGUGUGUAGGUGAAGUCCCUGCGGAUGGAGCUGAGACCAGUCGAAGAUACCAGCUGGCUGCAACUGUUUAUUAAAAACACAGCACUGUGCAAACACGAAAGUGGACGUAUACGGUGUGACGCCUGCCCGGUGCCGGAAGGUUAAUUGAUGGGGUUAUCCGUAAGGAGAAGCUCUUGAUCGAAGCCCCGGUAAACGGCGGCCGUAACUAUAACGGUCCUAAGGUAGCGAAAUUCCUUGUCGGGUAAGUUCCGACCUGCACGAAUGGCGUAAUGAUGGCCAGGCUGUCUCCACCCGAGACUCAGUGAAAUUGAACUCGCUGUGAAGAUGCAGUGUACCCGCGGCAAGACGGAAAGACCCCGUGAACCUUUACUAUAGCUUGACACUGAACAUUGAGCCUUGAUGUGUAGGAUAGGUGGGAGGCUUUGAAGCGUGGACGCCAGUCUGCGUGGAGCCAACCUUGAAAUACCACCCUUUAAUGUUUGAUGUUCUAACGUUGGCCCCUGACCGGGGUUGCGGACAGUGUCUGGUGGGUAGUUUGACUGGGGCGGUCUCCUCCCAAAGCGUAACGGAGGAGCACGAAGGUUAGCUAAUCCUGGUCGGACAUCAGGAGGUUAGUGCAAUGGCAUAAGCUAGCUUGACUGCGAGCGUGACGGCGCGAGCAGGUGCGAAAGCAGGUCAUAGUGAUCCGGUGGUUCUGAAUGGAAGGGCCAUCGCUCAACGGAUAAAAGGUACUCCGGGGAUAACAGGCUGAUACCGCCCAAGAGUUCAUAUCGACGGCGGUGUUUGGCACCUCGAUGUCGGCUCAUCACAUCCUGGGGCUGAAGUAGGUCCCAAGGGUAUGGCUGUUCGCCAUUUAAAGUGGUACGCGAGCUGGGUUUAGAACGUCGUGAGACAGUUCGGUCCCUAUCUGCCGUGGGCGCUGGAGAAUUGAGGGGGGCUGCUCCUAGUACGAGAGGACCGGAGUGGACGCAUCACUGGUGUUCGGGUUGUCAUGCCAAUGGCACUGCCCGGUAGCUAAAUGCGGAAGAGAUAAGUGCUGAAAGCAUCUAAGCACGAAACUUGCCCCGAGAUGAGUUCU